rnacentral:rRNA from 1 species
CCUACGGGAGGCAGCAGUGAGGAAUAUUGGUCAAUGGGCGCGAGCCUGACCCAGCCACGUAGCGUGAAGGAUGACUGCCCUACGGGUUGUAAACUUCUUUUAUGAAGGAAUAAAGUGAGGCACGUGUGCCUUUUUGUAUGUACUUUAUGAGUAAGGAUCGGCUAACUCCGUGCCAGCAGCCGCGGUAAUACGGAGGGUCCGAGCGUUAUCCGGAUUUAGUGGGUUUAAAGGGAGCGUAGAUGGGUUGUUAAGUCAGUUGUGAAAGUUUGCGGCUCAACCGUAAAAUUGCAAUUGAUACUGGCAGGCUUGAGUACAGUUGAGGUAGGCGGAAUUCGUGGUGUAGCGGUGAAAUGCUUAGAUAUCACGAAGAACUACGAUUGCGAAGGCAGCUUACUAAACUGCCACUGACAUUGAUGCUCGAAAGUGUGGGUAGCAAACAGGAUUAGAUACCCGGGUAGUC